UACGUAGGUCCCGAGCGUUAUCCGGAUUUAUUGGGUUUAAAGGGUGCGUAGGCGGACUGCCAAGUCAGCGGUAAAAUUGAGAGGCUCAACCUCUUCCCGCCGUUGAAACUGGUGGUCUUGAGUGGAUGAGAAGUACGCGGAAUGCGUGGUGUAGCGGUGAAAUGCAUAGAUAUCACGCAGAACUCCGAUUGCGAAGGCAGCGUACCGGCAUCCAACUGACGCUGAGGCACGAAAGCGUGGGGAUCAAACAGG
rnacentral:rRNA from 1 species